rnacentral:rRNA from 1 species
GUAGUCUCGCACAGAUGCAUAUCAAUAAGCGGAGGAAAAGAAACUAACAAGGAUUCCCCUAGUAACAGCGAGUGAAGCGGGAAGAGCUCAAAUUUGAAAUCUUAAAGGGUUUCCCUUUACGAAUUGUAGUUUAAAGAAGUGUUUUCUGUUGAGGUUUUGGUAAAAGUUCUUUGGAAUAGGACAUCAUAGAGGGUGAGAAUCCCGUAUUUGACCUUUACUUUCAACUUUGUGAUACACUUUCAAAGAGUCGGAUUGUUUGGGAAUGCAGUCCAAAAUGGGUGGUAAACUUCAUCUAAAGCUAAAUAUUGGCGAGAGACCGAUAGCGAACAAGUACCGUGAGGGAAAGAUGAAAAGAACUUUGAAAAGAGAGUUAAACAGUACGUGAAAUUGUCAAAAGGGAAGCGUUUGACACCAGUGUUGUUUUUCUGAAAAUCAAUUAAAGAACUGUUUAUGCUAAGCUGUUUAGACUUUAUCAGCUAAUCUGUUUAGUUUUGAGCUUUUCUUUAACGCACUUUUCAGUUAACAAGUCAACAUCAAUUUCUUUUGCUGUAAAAAAGCUUGAGGAAGGUGGCUUGAGAUUCGUCUUAAGUGUUUAUAGCCUCUUGCCUAUGCAGUCGGAGAGAUUGAGGUCUGCAGCGUAGAUCCUUCGGGGCUAAAUGCAUUUGUGCUAAGUUAUAGCAUUUUAUAGACAACUUGUUGACUAUGAUUUGUCUUGUAGCUUACUCGCUUAUGUUAUUUUACCUACGCUUAGGAUGUUGAAGACUCUACAGAGAUA